GAUGAACGCUGGCGGCGUGCCUAAUACAUGCAAGUCGAGCGAACGGACGAGAAGCUUGCUUCUCUGAUGUUAGCGGCGGACGGGUGAGUAACACAUGGAUAACCUACCUAUAAGACUGGGAUAACUUCGGGAAACCGGAGCUAAUACCGGAUAAUAUUUUGAACCGCAUGGUUCAAAAGUGAAAGACGGUCUUGCUGUCACUUAUAGAUGGAUCCGCGCUGCAUUAGCUAGUUGGUAAGGUAACGGCUUACCAAGGCAACGAUGCAUAGCCGACCUGAGAGGGUGAUCGGCCACACUGGAACUGAGACACGGUCCAGACUCCUACGGGAGGCAGCAGUAGGGAAUCUUCCGCAAUGGGCGAAAGCCUGACGGAGCAACGCCGCGUGAGUGAUGAAGGUCUUCGGAUCGUAAAACUCUGUUAUUAGGGAAGAACAUAUGUGUAAGUAACUGUGCACAUCUUGACGGUACCUAAUCAGAAAGCCACGGCUAACUACGUGCCAGCAGCCGCGGUAAUACGUAGGUGGCAAGCGUUAUCCGGAAUUAUUGGGCGUAAAGCGCGCGUAGGCGGUUUUUUAAGUCUGAUGUGAAAGCCCACGGCUCAACCGUGGAGGGUCAUUGGAAACUGGAAAACUUGAGUGCAGAAGAGGAAAGUGGAAUUCCAUGUGUAGCGGUGAAAUGCGCAGAGAUAUGGAGGAACACCAGUGGCGAAGGCGACUUUCUGGUCUGUAACUGACGCUGAUGUGCGAAAGCGUGGGGAUCAAACAGGAUUAGAUACCCUGGUAGUCCACGCCGUAAACGAUGAGUGCUAAGUGUUAGGGGGUUUCCGCCCCUUAGUGCUGCAGCUAACGCAUUAAGCACUCCGCCUGGGGAGUACGACCGCAAGGUUGAAACUCAAAGGAAUUGACGGGGACCCGCACAAGCGGUGGAGCAUGUGGUUUAAUUCGAAGCAACGCGAAGAACCUUACCAAAUCUUGACAUCCUUUGACAACUCUAGAGAUAGAGCUUUCCCCUUCGGGGGACAAAGUGACAGGUGGUGCAUGGUUGUCGUCAGCUCGUGUCGUGAGAUGUUGGGUUAAGUCCCGCAACGAGCGCAACCCUUAAGCUUAGUUGCCAUCAUUAAGUUGGGCACUCUAAGUUGACUGCCGGUGACAAACCGGAGGAAGGUGGGGAUGACGUCAAAUCAUCAUGCCCCUUAUGAUUUGGGCUACACACGUGCUACAAUGGACAAUACAAAGGGCAGCGAAACCGCGAGGUCAAGCAAAUCCCAUAAAGUUGUUCUCAGUUCGGAUUGUAGUCUGCAACUCGACUACAUGAAGCUGGAAUCGCUAGUAAUCGUAGAUCAGCAUGCUACGGUGAAUACGUUCCCGGGUCU
rnacentral:rRNA from 1 species